AUUGCAUCAAGACUAGUUUGGAAGUUUCAAAUCGUUGUCCUCAAUGUAAAUUUGUAAUAGAUCGCAAAGAUCAGAUUUUUCCAAACACAGCAUUAAAUACUCUUAUUGAUGCAUGCAGCGGCAGAGGUUAUUUGAAACGGAAGAAAGCUGAUCUCUCUGUACAUAGCAAUGAAAUUUACGAUAUUGUCAAAAAAGAAAAUUUGGACCUUAGUGAAGUCAAUAAUCUUCUCGAUGCACUUAUACAAAAAAAAGAAUCAUUAG
rnacentral:lncRNA from 1 species